rnacentral:lncRNA from 1 species
UUAACAUUUGUAUUUUGUUCAAAGAACAAGAUAAGAUAGCAGGACUUAUUCUUGAUAUCUACAACUUAUAAGUAAAAUCUUUAUUUAAAAUUUUGUGUUUACAUUAUAUUUACGUAUAAUUUGUAUUUUGUAGCUGCAUGGCUCAGGAGUGGUAUCCAUUUAGUUAUGUUGCUGAAAAGUAUAAUUUUUGAAUGCAUCAAGAAUUAUGCUUCUAGAAAGUUCUGCAUACCUAAUUGCUUCUGGGGUCCAUAGUAUGACAAGUGUAACAAUUUUGAAGUGGUUUACACUUGAAUUGCAGACGUCUCAGAAAAAAGACUGCUUUCAGUCCUGUACAACACUUAAUGAAGCUAUAAGAUGAAUGAGCCACUCAGCCUCAUCCACUUGUGUGGCAGUUUAAUAAAAAAAGUCUGGCACUGCUUUCUACUCCUAUUUUACACUGAUAGAAAAAAGACUAGCAGAUGAGGAUCUACUUCUGAGUGACUUGUGAGUUAUCACUUAAUUUGUCUCCUUACUAUUAUAGUAAUCAUGCCACUUGUUAGGAGGAGAACACCUAUUUGACAGUUCAGAUUACACAUGAACUUAAACUGAGUUUAAUGAGUUAUUUAUGGAAAUCUCCAAGAAAUAGGUUUGGACUCACAAUGCAUUUAUAGACAAAUAAGACCAUGCUCUUUUUCUGUUGCUUGCUUGAUCAUUGGGACUUUAAAAAUGAUGCAUGUCUUUUUUAAUUCUUGGGUGAUGUUUUUCUAAAUUAAAAAUUUUUUCUUCCUUUAGCCCUGCCAUAGGACAGGCUGAGGCUGAGUCUCAGUGUUGCCCUGUUCAGUCUGAGCAGCAGAAUUUCAGCAUUUGCUACUUACUGGUAGAGAAGAAAAACCCCACAGCCCUGCCAGUACAGUUUAUAAGAAUGGCGUAGAUACAGUGGAAAUGGUUUUCCUUAAAACCAUCUCUUUAAGAGCUGCCUUUCUGGUGGUGGCAUCCACUCUGCAGGCAGAGACCAGUCAUCGCUGAGUUUCAGGACAACCAGGGCUGUAUAGAGGAGUCUCCCCCAAAGUGAAGGAAUGUGUCCUGCGUUUGUUGGAAUCAGUUGAGGUUCCCAGUGUGUGUCCUGGCUCACAACCACCGCUCCUUCAGGAUCUGACACCUUGAACUUUUGUGCUCAUAUACUUAAAACACAGCAUACAAUUAAGAAUACAUAUGUUUUAAAGAUCAAAGAUUACCUUUUUUGCCCCAGUGCUCAUUUCUCACUGCUAGGUUAAGGAAAUAAUAGAUUUAGUACUCUCUUUCUCGAGUACUUGAACUGUAUAAAUCAUUCCAACCCUGCAUGGAAAAACUUGCAUUACAAAUGCAAGAUUUUUUAGCAUUUGUUUACCUGGGAAGAUUAACUUACAAAAAUAUUUUACUGUCUUGUUUAGUGACGAGUUUGUAACAUAAGGAUUUUCCCUGUAGUUUUUAAGCUAGAUUUUUAGAUAAUGCAGGCAUAUUUGUAUAUACAUUGUAUUUCUUCUAUGAUUUUUGUGAAUAAAUCUACCUUUUUCCUCCUUAGUAUGACAAUAUUUGUUUUCUAAAAUCUGAAUGUGUAAUCUGAGAGUGUGUGGUAAUGAAUUCUAGGUGAGCUCUCAACAAAGUUUUGAGCCUAAAUUUGUGUCUUUAGAUUAUAGUGAAAUAAAUUUCUAAGGAACUCUGUCCUUUCCUAGCAUGGAUAAACAGACAGUGACAGUUGGUAAGUAUGUAACUUUAAAUGCAUGUAGUAGUGGUAAAGUUGAGCUACCAAACUAUUCCAAGACAGUUAGAAGUGAGUCCUUCUAGGACUUUAUAUGUAUAUCUGACAUUUUACUCCAAAUCUAUUACUCAUGAUUAAACUGAAAUGCAACCUUACCUUGUCUGAUUUGUUUUUUGUUGUUCAUUUUGUUUUUAGAAGAAUUUUGUAUGGUAGUUUAAAAAUCUAAUUUUAUAUUUAAAACCUUUCCUUGGUGUAUCAGUACGUGGCUCUUCUGACAACCAAAUAUUGAUCCGAAGAUUUACUUCAAACACUUUGGUUUCCAUUUAUAACUAAGCAAAAUAUAGUGGCAAAAGAGAGGACUACUCUAAUUUUAGUCUAUAAUAGGAAAUCAGUGCAGAAUUACGCUUUAUUUUUAUUUUAUGUGUCUGUGGUGCACCCACAUGCAGUUUUCUCCUGAGGCCAGAAGAUUGUCUGAUUGUUAGAGUGGAGUAGAGCUUCAGACACUGGUAACCCACCCCUGAGCAGUACCCAUUCAUCCUUGGCCAGUUCGGGGUCAGUGUUGGAAUUUGGUGGUGGGAAGAAGGCUUUCUUUAUUUUUUAUGAUUGCGGCCCCCCAAUUGUGAGAAUUAUUUCAGGGGGUAGAUCGGAGGACAACUUCUUUACAGUUUGUGUUCGUAUGUGGUUUCCUAGGGAGACAUCUCAACCACCCUCUGGUGUUCUGUUGGUAACAGAAGUAUGACAGGUUAAAAUGAAAAGCAUUUUAAUUUUAUUUCUGAGACAAAGUAUUUAUUUACAGCAUUGUUUUCUGAAAAGUUUAAAGAAGGUGGGUAUGCAUGUCUUUAAUUUAGUCUCCAGGUUUACCUCCUAACAAGUGUCAGUUGGAUUUGGAGGAAAUGAAGAGCCAAUCUGUGGGGAUGUGAUUGUAUGGAGGGUCUGAGUAUAGCAGCAGGAGGAAGAAUAAACUUGCAGCCUGUGUGCUAUUAAAUGGUUACAGGAGCAGAGAUCGUGACGAAUGUUACUCUAUAACUAAUGUCUGCUAAAGAUAUUAUAUGCUAGCCUUUAAUUCAUUAACAUUGGAACCUUGUGAUACAUGAAUUUUGGUCGAGUUUAUUUAAAAAUAAAAAAUUUCCCACACAAAUAAUAGUGUAUGUGAUAACUUUUGAUGUGUCUGUCUCCU